AUUUGAAUAUCAUAUUAAACUGAAGUAGCUCACUAACUCAUUCGUCCAUUCCAUUUCUACAUAAAUAGCAGGAAAGUUGAGGGACUAUGUUCGAUUUUAAAGUAUAAAGGAAGUGUCCACAAAGAAGAAUAUAUUUAUAGUGAUUCAGCAUUCUACCAAAACUGAACCUUAAUCCUUUCCACCAAACUCUUUUCCUCAGCUUAAUAUGUUUCCCACCAACAAAUGACACAUGCAAUAAUUCCAUCAUUCAGCACC
rnacentral:lncRNA from 1 species